rnacentral:tRNA from 1 species
CAGGGAAUAGUUUAAAUAGAACUUCAGCUUUGGGUGUUGAUAGUGGGGCUAUGGC